rnacentral:rRNA from 1 species
AUUGAACGCUGGCGGCAGGCCUAACACAUGCAAGUCGAACGGUAACAGGAAGAAGCUUGCUUCUUUGCUGACGAGUGGCGGACGGGUGAGUAAUGUCUGGGAAACUGCCUGAUGGAGGGGGAUAACUACUGGAAACGGUAGCUAAUACCGCAUAACGUCGCAAGACCAAAGAGGGGGACCUUCGGGCCUCUUGCCAUCGGAUGUGCCCAGAUGGGAUUAGCUAGUAGGUGGGGUAACGGCUCACCUAGGCGACGAUCCCUAGCUGGUCUGAGAGGAUGACCAGCCACACUGGAACUGAGACACGGUCCAGACUCCUACGGGAGGCAGCAGUGGGGAAUAUUGCACAAAGGGCGCAAGCCUGAUGCGGCCAUGCCGCGUGUAUGAAGAAGGCCUUCGGGUUGUAAAGUACUUUCAGCGGGGAGGAAGGGAGUAAAGUUAAUACCUUUGCUCAUUGACGUUACCCGCAGAAGAAGCACCGGCUAACUCCGUG